rnacentral:rRNA from 1 species
GGCUUUGAAGUGUGGACGCCAGUCUGCAUGGAGCCGACCUUGAAAUACCACCCUUUAAUGUUUGAUGUUCUAACGUUGACCCGUAAUCCGGGUUGCGGACAGUGUCUGGUGGGUAGUUUGACUGGGGCGGUCUCCUCCUAAAGAGUAACGGAGGAGCACGAAGGUUGGCUAAUCCUGGUCGGACAUCAGGAGGUUAGUGCAAUGGCAUAAGCCAGCUUGACUGCGAGCGUGACGGCGCGAGCAGGUGCGAAAGCAGGUCAUAGUGAUCCGGUGGUUCUGAAUGGAAGGGCCAUCGCUCAACGGAUAAAAGGUACUCCGGGGAUAACAGGCUGAUACCGCCCAAGAGUUCAUAUCGACGGCGGUGUUUGGCACCUCGAUGUCGGCUCAUCACAUCCUGGGGCUGAAGUAGGUCCCAAGGGUAUGGCUGUUCGCCAUUUAAAGUGGUACGCGAGCUGGGUUUAGAACGUCGUGAGACAGUUCGGUCCCUAUCUGCCGUGGGCGCUGGAGAA